GUUCACUUCUUAUCUCAUCCUGUCAGAACCUGGCAACCAGACGCUGAAGCUCCUCCACCACCACACUGUGUACUCUGUAGUUUAAACAUUUACACACACACACAUACACACACACACACACACACACACACACACACACACACACACACACACACACACACACACACACACACACACGCUCCUGUACACCUGACACAGACCUUCCCACACACUCCUCAUACAUCUGUAAAGCUUUAGGUCUGUAGUUGAUGAAGUUAAGGUGAGAGCAGAAUGGGACCUCGCACAGCAGACGGGCCAUCCAAACAUGAGAAGGUCGCCUCUCGGAAUUGCCAUGGUAACAGGAGUGACGGGUAUUACAAUGAUUCUCCUGUGCUCAAUAACCCAAAGUCAGUGUUGAAGAGGCAGGUGAGUCCAGAAGAGCUACAGACACCUGGAGGGAAAUAUCUGAAGAGGAUAUUUACUAUCGUCGGGGAUGCUGUGGGCUGGGGGUUUGUCGUGAGAGGCAGCAGUCCGUGUCACAUUCAGGCUGUAGAUCCGAGCGGACCAGCCGCUGCCGUCGGAAUGAAGGUAUGUCAGUUUGUAGUGUGUGUGAACGGAGUGAAUGUUUUGGAGAUGGACUAUCGGACCGUCAGUCAUCUCAUUCUCACCGGACCUCGUACCGUUGUCAUGGAGGUGAUGGAGCCACUGGACUGCUGAGGCUGAAAUGACUAAAGAAGCUCUUUUAAAAAUUCAAAGAAGUGCUCAGAAAGAAUUGUGAAAAAAGUCAAAUUCUGUGAGUUGCAUAACAUAUGAGGUAAUGACUUGUACCCUGGUGCAUUAGGCUGCUCAAAAAGAAACAAAUAGCGUAAAUUGUGAUAGUGCUCAUCAUAUUGUACAGUAAGGAAAAACCCUCAGGGGUUUGCUGGAGGUAAAACAAUUCAGGUCCAGAGUGAAAUAUUUCACCACCAAUGUUGUAAAUUAGACAUUGAAUAAUAUUUCGUUUAUGAAAUAUUUUAAAUAGUAAAUUAAGUUAGACUGUAAGAACCAAAGAAUGGUUGUAAGUUAUUGGAUUUUAAACAUUAGCUGAUCUUUUGUAAGUGGACCUUAAAUACAAUGAGGGGAUAAUAAAUAAAUAAAUAAAUAGUCUUAAUAGUAGUAAUAUUUUUGUUUAAUAUACUUCCAACUCAUAUAUUUCCACAUGUAAUGUCUUUUGUCUUUUUGAUUAUAAAUCUGAACAAAAAUAUGUAUUCCUACCCACACCCCAAACCCCCACACACCACCAGCCCACAAAACUUACAAGGAAAUCUAAUUCAUGGUACAAAAAAAAGUGACAUUAUUAUUAAAGAUCAAUGCUUUUAAGGAAAUUUUACAUUUCGUGCAACAAGUAACAACUGAAACUGAAAUUGAAUGAGCUUCCAAACGUUCUCAGAAAUAAAAAUUGUAAACAUCACUUAAAUGGAAAUUGGUGCAGAGCUUCAGCAAAGAACAUUAACAUACUGGUCAGAAAAUCGAAAAGUUCAGGGAACAACAAGAUUUUACAACAAUCCCUAAAACUGAUGAUAACGAAGAUAAGAGAGACGCCAGCAAUCACUGGAAAAGAGCUGCAGGACGACCUGAAAGCAGCAGGAACAACAAGAACAACAAUAACAUGCCUUCAUAUUACACUUAACUCCUCUGAUAAAAAUAGAAGCACAGACAUGUGCAAAUAAUCAUAUAUAAGAGGAGACUUGAAUCUCAUUGGCUUAUUAUGUGAAGAUUGAAAAACAGCAACCCCAUAUACUAUAUACAGCACAUAAUAACUUGCAUAAGAAAGUCGACGGUGCUCACAUAUGGUGUAUAAAUCACUUGAAGUGUUAUAGUACUACAAUGCUGUGAAAAAAGGGAUUCAUUAUUGAUUCUUACUAUAGACAUCUUGAAUCCACUUUACCUACAGUAGCUAUUUUGUUAAAGCUAUCUUUAUUUAUUUAUUUUAAUACAUACGUUUUGGUCAUAUUUAUAUUUAUAAAAAAUCAAAAGACAUUAUGUAUGUACGUAUAAACUGGAAGUAUAUGUGUUAGAAAUAGUAAUUGGCUAUAAGACUUAAUUGUUUCCCCUCAGUAAAUUAGUAGAUUUGUUAUUCAGUAAAAGAUUUCAGAACUUCAUUAGCUGAUUUCCGUUACUGAUCUUUUGAUAUACUGAUUUGUAGAUGUCUAUUUUCUCAUCAGUUCUUUGUGAGCAAGUCUAUGUGUAAAUUGAAAUGAAAUCAACCUAGACGUAAACAUAUACAGACUUUGAUUUAGCUAUCAGUUUAGUUACAAGAGCUUUAAUGUUACACUUUCUAAGUUAUACUUUAAAAAGAAUUGUGAGUAAACUCGACUUAAAGAUGAUCUUUGUUUCAAUUCACAAUUAGUCAAGAAAAGGGAUUAGCGUAAGUUACAUUUUUGACAAUCUGAGUAUAAGACUGAGGUCAAUAUUCAAAACUUGAUAAUUAAUUGGAGUUGAUUAUGAUAUAAUGGUUUUUAAAUCAUCAGGUAAUAUAAUUGUAUUUUUUAUUUUUGAUUAACAGCAAAUAUUUGGCUCAUUAUACUGGGAAAUUUGUAAAUGUGACAUUCGCAAAUGUUUAAAAUAAUAGAAAUAUUUAUACAAUGUAAUUAGCAUACGCUGAACAUAAUUAAAAUGAUUUCUUUCGAAGAAUUUAAUUCCAAACAUUUAUUGUCAGUUAAUUCAUUAAAAAUGCACACUCCAUGGAAGUAUUAUGUACUUAUAAAAUACAUUAUUGCAUAAUUUUUCUAAUUAUUUGCUCUAGUUUUUCUGUUUUUACUGACAGUGAUGAGUUUUUACUUUGAUAGAUGUUUAAUAAUGAUGUUGUAAGUUUACAUACUAAACCUUCUACCACUCCUUCACUCUGUCUACAAGUCUAAAUAUGAUUUAUUAUUGUACAUGUACACACUGUUAUUCAUUUAAAUAUGUGAUGUGUUUUAUGUUUGUUAUGAUAGAGCACUUUCCUGUGAUUGUGUGUUUCUCGUGGCUUAACUUAUAUUCAACUUUCUAACAUGGCUACUGCAUAUCUGAUUAAUCUUUCUUUAACUUUCUCUUGUGGUUAUUUUUCUUUGUCCAUGUGUGCACUUAAAAUACAUUUCAACUGUAAACA